rnacentral:lncRNA from 1 species
AUGGAUAUGGAUCAUCAGCAAAUAAAACCGAACAAUAUGACUUGCUCUGUUGACCAUCAAUCUGUUCAUGAAGCACUAGCUCCCUCUAGUGGUUUACCUCCAUUAAUGCCACAAAACAAUGUGUCUAUUCAUAUGUCAAAUCACACUGUGAACAAUCCAAACCCUCAAAUCGUCACUCCUGCACCUCCCACAGACAUUUCCCAAUUGGCCCAAGCAAUUCAAAACAGUAUAGCCAUAAACAGAAUCCCAGUGCCAAUGCCCACAGUGUUCAGCGGAGAUCCAAUUAACUACAUUGAAUGGAAAGCUUCAUUCUCUUCACUUGUAGAUUGCAAAGGGAUCUCACCUGCUGAUAAGCUUCACUUGCUCAAAAGGUACGUCACAGGCCCAGCACAAAAAUGUCUUGAGGGCACGUUCUAUCGCAGUGAUGAAGAGGCAUACAGGGAUGCAUGGCAGAAACUUGAGCAACGUUAUGGACCGCCUUUUGUUGUGCAAAGAGCUUUCAGAGACAAACUGGCAAAAUGGCCUAAAAUAAGCUCAAAGGAUGCAGAAGGAUUAAGGACCUUUUCAGACUUUCUAAAUGCAUGUCUCCAAGCCACACCAUAUGUAAAAGGCCUAGAGAUACUAAGUGACUGCGAGGAAAAUCAAAAAUUGCUGCAGAAAGUUCCCGAUUGGCUGGCAGCCUGUUGGAAUCGCCAUGUCACAGUUACACUUAUGGACGGCAAGGAUUUCCCCUCUUUUAAGGACUUUGCACAAUUCGUGACAGUCGAGGCAGAGAUCGCAUGCAACCCGGUCACUUCUUCAUAUGCUCUUCACUCAUGCAGCUCAUCCUACGAGAAAAGGACCACAAAGGACUUUAAACCAAACAGAUCCACACAAGUCUUCACAACACAAACCACAGUACAAAACAACAAGGCAAGGACAAGCAACACAAAAUGAAAGGUACCCUGCAUGUUUUGCAAAGAUGAAAAACACCAGUUGUCAAAGUGCCCUAACUUUUUAGAUCUGCACUUAGAAGAGAAGCGCACAUAUGUUAGGGACAAUAAACUGUGCUAUGGAUGCCUAAAGGUAGGCCAUAACGCCAAAGAUUGUUGUCAUCGCCACACUUGUGACAUUUGCAAAGGAAGGCAUCCCACUUGUCUGCACAAUGACAAUCACAAGGCAUAUGAAAGGUCACGAAGCUCUGACAACACCGCUCCAAGCUCUCCAAAUGAAACCACGUCAGUCAC